AACGCGAAGAACCUUACCUGGGCUUGAACCGCACCGGACCAUCUUUGGAAACAGAGACUUCCCGCAAGGGACCGGUGUAGAGGUGCUGCAUGGCUGUCGUCAGCUCGUGCCGUGAGGUGUUGGGUUAAGUCCCGCAACGAGCGCAACCCUUACUCGUAGUUGCCACCCGCAAGGGGGAACUCUACGAGGACUGCUCCGGAUAACGGAGAGGAAGGUGGGGAUGAGGUCAAGUCAGCAUGGCCUUUAUGUCCAGGGCGACACACGUGUUACAAUGCGCGCCACAAAGCGUCGCGAACCCGCGAGGGGGAGCUAAUCGCAAAAAAGCGCGCUCAGUUCGGAUUGCAGUCUGCAACUCGACUGCAUGAAGCCGGAAUCGCUAGUAAUGGCGCAUCAGAACGGCGCCGUGAAUACGUUCCCGGGCCUUGUA
rnacentral:rRNA from 1 species